rnacentral:lncRNA from 1 species
AUUAAAGCCGGGUGGGGGAGGGAAAAGGGGAGAGACCAUCCCCGUGCCUGCAGCGUUGACUCCUGGCAUCAUUUCGGUGCAGGGACCCAGCUGACACUUCUUAUUUUGGGUCCUGCCUCCCCAGCAGCAGUCUCCAACUUGCCAGCAUCCUGGCAGGACAGCAGCCGGCAGCCGCUGAGCAGAGGAGAGACAGAGUCAGCGGUUUCUCUGCUGUGCCCAUUCUCAGCAGAUCUGGUUAAGGAUCAGAAGCUGCCUUUCCUCUGAUGCAUGCAAACUUUAGCCCCACACAUGAAAGAUACUUUGAAACCAUCUGAUGCCAACCCGAGCUCAGAGAUAAGGACUGUGAGGCCAAGAGGUUAACUGACUUGCCCAAAGGAGACAGGAAGCACAAGGGUAGGUCUGUGAGUCCCUGGGAUGUGUUUCAACCAGCAUGUCGGACAAGGACAAAGUCAUCAGCUCUGGACCCAUCGAGCACCCUGACUCCAGUGAAACAGGACAAGGUCUCCCAGGCUACCUUGGAAGCUCCGAGGGACUCCAGGUCAUUAAGGAGCCUCCGCUUAGAGCCUGUGCUCAGCCCGGUGGCCUGAGCACCACAUUCGGUUGCAUCUGCACAUCUCUGUCUUCCACCCUGGAAGUCUGUACUGAUAGAUUCUGUUGGGGACACCAGUGCCCACCGGUCUCUGGAAGGUACACGUCCUCUCAGGCAUCUCCUGAGGACUACAAUGCCUUAACUCAAAGGAGAAGUCCCUCCCAGCAAAAUCCCUCUUUGGAGAGAAGGCUGAUGAGGGAGACUGGAGCAGACCUGCUGGGCACCUGUAGGCCACUUCCCUGCACACCUGGUGCUGGAAUUGCAUUGGUUUUCACAACUGCUUUGCUUCUUGGCUUCUCCAGCUCCCUGGAGGCGCAAAGCAGCUGCUCUCCCAAGGCGUUCCUACUAGGGAAGGAGACCCAGCUCCAGCAAAGAUGUCCUGUGAGUGCCCUUUAUCUCUUCCAGAUGCUUGCUACACAUGGUUUUCUGAAGGCUGUGCUAAGCAUUCUUUCUAUAUAUAGAAGAUAG